rnacentral:rRNA from 1 species
UUGACGGGGAGCACUACAACGGGUGGAGCCUGCGGUUUAAUUGGACUCAACGCCGGAAAACUCACCGGGGCGACAGCAAUAUGUAGGUCAAGCUAAAGACUUUACCAGAAUCGCUGAGAGGAGGUGCAUUGGCCGUCGUCAGUUCGUACUGUGAAGCAUCCUGUUAAGUCAGGCAACGAGCGAAACCCGUGCCCACUGUUGCCAGCAUGUCCUUCGGGAUGAUGGGUACUCUGUGGGGACCGCCGAUGCUAAAUCGGAGGAAGGUGCGGGCUACGGUAGGUCAGUAUGCCCCGAAUCUCCCGGGCUACACGCGGGCUACAAUGACUGGGACAAUGGGCUCCUACCCCGAAAGGGGAUGGUAAUCUCAUAAACCCAGCCUUAGUUCGGAUCGAGGGCUGUAACCCGCCCUCGUGAAGCUGGAAUCCGUAGUAAUCGCGUUUCAACAUAGCGCGGUGAAUACGUCCCUGCUCCUU